GCAGUGCAAACCCUAAACCCUAAUCUCGCCUCCAGUUCCCUACUCCACAACGCUCCCCCCUCCUCUCUCACCCCCGGGCGAGGUUUUCCGUCUUGACCUGGGAGGUCGGGAGGAAGAGGGGAAGGGUAGGGACAAAUCGAGGGAGCUGGAUCUUUGAGAAGGAGCAGGUGUUGGGGCUGUCAGGAAAUCCAAGGAGAAAAGAGCCGAGCUAAUGGAUUACCCGUUAGUUUCCUUCACUUCUAUGUAUUGAGAUUUACAAAAUAUGUGAUGUCGCAUUUCCAGAGCCUCUCUAUGUGAUAUGAUAUGUAUGACACUGCAUAAAACUUUUAUUAACAGAGUGAACCGCUCCAAGCAGGACAUAUUUAUCCUGGGCAGAAGCAGUCGUCUUUUCUAGAUAAUUUAAUUGUCAAGAAAAAAAGCUUGACUCGAUUGUAGUUUGCAGUAGUUUCCAACAAGAGGUGGGCUGGGGAUACCACAUGGGACAACAUCAAAUUGAGGGAAGAUAUAUUUUAUGCGGAGCUAUGUGGCCGAAAGAGAAGUCUACAUGCCUAACAAAAGGUGGCAGCUAAAAAAAAGGAGGCUGUGUUCAGGAGAGGUUAACCCACAUCCUGUAACUUUUUUCAUGUCCAGCCAUAGGCCGUAUUCACGAGAUAAGGGGAACCAUGAGGAGGAAAAAGAAAAAGAGGAGUACUCGUUAGCUGUCUUCUGCCUCUCUUUUCUUGCAUUUUUGGGCAGUGUUUCAGUACUGGUUAUCUACACUCACCACACGUCGCGAGGUUUCGAGCACCAAGGUACUGUACUGAAGUGAAAGCAAGUGUUCUGCAAGGUCGCAGCAAGCCAUCUACGCAUUCUGAAAGCGGCUUGUCCUAGUGAGCUUUAAUGUUUCCUCGGUCGAACUGUUCCAUCUCUCAGCUCUCACCAUAGCGACCUGUUUCCAUGAAUUAAUCGCACCCACAUGGUUACGGCCAAAACUGCAUUAAAUAUAUUGGGCCGCGUUCGGCAACUCACAGCAUUGUCCAUGGUAGCAGUAAUGAUCCAUGUUCCACCUUUUGAACUCAAAUCACAUCACAAUGUUAUUGACAUGCAGAAUCUAGCUUGCA